GGGGCAGCCCACGUGGGCUCCCGUCUUAGAUGGGGUCCCUUAGAUGGGGUCCUCCAGCUGCAGCCAAAGGCAAGCCCUGCUCCGUUUUGUCGAGCUGCAAGCGAGGAUGGAGGAUGGACUCUGCACUUUAGGUGACUGGACAGUCUCAAAACCAGACACUCUCAGGCCACAUUCAAGUCACAUGCGACUUGUGUGACAUUCCAGCUCCUGUGCUCGUGACCAAGUCCUGCUGGAGGUCGGGGGUGGCCGCCCAUCAGUGCUCUGCUGGUGGCGGCUCUCGUGCCAGGACAGCACCGACUGAUCAGAGCAGGGCCCUCUGGCCUGCACCCUAAGACCUGCUGCCCUGUCCUCCUCAGAGGUCAUCUGCUGACCCUAAGUUUAGGGCAAAUGGCUGGGACCAGAGGCAGGGUUCCCAGGGCUCCAGGGAAGAGGUUCUGCUGAGCUGCAGGACGAACCUCGAAUGCCAGGCUGAGCAGGUUGGGGAUGGGCUGAGCUUGGCAUCUGGGCAGGGCGUGGAGAGGGCAGGGAUUCAGGAAGAAGGACGUGCUUGUGCGGAUGUCCUGCCAGAGGUGAGAGGCCAGAGCGGGGACACCUCUUAGCACUCAUCUCGGUGUCUCAGGAGCCUGUCCUCAUGUCCAGAGCUUCCCUAGCCCUUUGCAGAGAGCAUCAUGGUGACCCUCAGCCCAGGGUGGCCCACUGACCUGGCUUUGAGGCAGGGCCUGGACCCACAGGGACUCAGCAUCUGGUACCUGGUGCCUGCUCAGCUCAUGGGGGUAGAUGCAGAAGGACUGUCAGAGAAGAGCUGGGGAGAGAAGGCGGGAUGGAGGAGGGACCCUGCACUGGAGGAGACUGGACACGGAGGAGGAGGACAGGGCCAGCAGCCUUGCCCUUAGCCGAGACUGUUCUGCAGGAGCCCCCGGUCACCCCCAGGCCUGUCCAGGCCAUGGCAGCCAGGGCAGCUCUGUGAGCCAAGGCCCUUCCUGUUUCAUGACCACACGCUCAUCUCCCUGCCCCCCUGACCCUGGCUGCCCCCUCCAGCCCAGGGUGUG
rnacentral:lncRNA from 1 species